UGCUUUAAGUGCUACGAGGCGGUAUAUAAGCAGCAGGCUUUGCUCUUUUUUUGGUAAGGAGACAAAACUUGUUUUUGCGGCAAACUGUUCUAUUGAAAAGUUCCCAGAGAACGUACAUUUUUACAGUGUCCUGGGGCAGCUUGAAGAUUUUCCAUUCCACGUCCACCUUUUUUCCCCCUCCAGAUGGAUGAUUCAGGGUAUCAGAGCUGCCAGAUGGGUGAGGAGAAGAUCUAGCUGAGUUGAGAUAUCUCAACGCUCACAGCUAUUUUCAGUUUUGAGAGCCACGGGUGCUUGUGUAUGCAUGGGUGCGUCUUCCUGUUCUGCAGUUUUUCCAGGAAAAACAGCUGUAGCUGACAGAGGAGAAAUAAACUUUUGCUUUCCUUGAUUUGUACAGCAUUCUGAUUACAAAUGGAAAGGAAAAACUAGCUGCGGUAUUUCCAGACAGACUUUGCUUACUGAAAAACGACCAAGCUGCUUUGAAGAGAGGAUACCAUGAGUCAGACAUAUUCGGUUGAGGCAGAGCCAAGACCCG